rnacentral:rRNA from 1 species
CGAGUGCCUCAAGCGUUAUCCGGAAUUAUUGGGCGUAAAGGGUGUGUAGGUGGUUUUGUUAGUCUUCUGUUAAAACUCUCAGCUUAACUGAGAGCCUGCAGGGGAAACGCAAGACUUAGAGUGUGCGAGGGGUUUGCGGAACUCAUGGUGUAGCAGUGAAAUGCGUUGAUAUCAUGGGGAGCACCAAAGCGAAGGCAGCAAACUGGAGCAUUACUGACACUGAAACACGAAAGCGUGGGUAGCGAAUGGGAUUAGAUACCCCAGUAGUCCACGCCCUAAACGAUGAUCACUAGGUUUUCGGAGUAUCGACCCUCUGAGAGCCACAGCUAACGCGUUAAGUGAUCCGCCUGGGUAGUACGACCGCAAGGUUA